rnacentral:other from 2 species
GCGACCCUGCGCGGUGCGUGUUGGAGCGGCACUUUUGAGCCAACACUAUUUGAACGGGCGCCUGAGUCCAUUCGUGGUGAGCAUUCCCGUCCGCGGGGAUGCCUGAAGCGAAGGCGAGGGGCCCACGCUGGUAGUCCAGGUUCAAAUAGUUCCCCUCCUCACGGCCAAGCGGGGUUUCA